rnacentral:pre_miRNA from 1 species
UAUGUACUCCCUCCGUUCGGAAUUACUUGUCGUAGAAAUGGAUGUAUCUAGAUAUUUUUUAGUUCUAGAUACAUCCAUUUCUACGACAAGUAAUUCGGAACGGAGGAAGUAUUUA